AUAUUUUAUGCACACAUAAAAGAUUUUAUGUCAUUGUACGAUUUCUUAAUUGUUGAACAUUAUAUUGGUUCAAGCCUUAUAUUUAAUUACUUGUGUAUAACCUCAGGGUGGGGUCACAUGGGCUCUUUUGACCAAUCAAAUUCAGUGUUGGCCAUUGUGGCCCUUUGUAUCCUUUUAGACUAACGAGGAAUCCAAUAUGGUCGAAAUUAACAAUUACGCUCUUAGGCGAUACUUCCAAGGAUUAAUUUUAAUAGGAUAUGAUGCCGUUUCAUUCCGUUUAUGUGAAGGAUUAUCUCUCGUUGUACGAAGACUUACACCAAUGGUGUUAUCCCGUGUGAUACUAAGUUUAAAGGGCAGUUGAACGAGUACACAUGCUUAUCACUAUCAGUGCCGUGUGCAGAAAACUUUGCGACGUAUACGCAGUCUACCGUGAAAGGUUUCCAAGAUGGCGGCGCCCACAGCGUAAUUAGCGCAUAUCGCCAGUCACUUUUUUUAUGCUGAUCAGCUACACAGUUGUCGCUGCCCUGUAUCAGUCAUACUGAUUCAGUUCAGAUAAGUAUUCAAAUAUCGUGUUAACAUUUGUGCCUGACUUUAAGUUCUGGCUGUUUAAAUUAUUAUUUUUUCUGCCUUUUUAAGAAUGAUGAUCAAUUCGGGUCAGCUCUAUAUAUCUUGUAUAUUUAUUAUUGUCUUAUUUAAUUUAAAGUUCAGCCUGGGCUUAUACUUUAUGAAUAUUUACGACACAUUUGUAUUGUCAGUUUAGCUGGGUUUCCCACUGUCACAUUAACAGAUGUCUUCACGUUUUUAUGAAAUAAACAAUGAAACACCCUUUCAUUUUAGUCUAUAUUACCAUACCUCAUUUAUAUGGUCAACUUGUGUAUUUUAAAAUUCUUGUGAUGUGUUUUGUUGUGCUAUUGUUGUUCAUGUUUUCUUUAUGGCAAUUAUUUGGUCGUUAUAUUUUCAUUAACAUAUCCUUGUUAAGUCUGUAACUACUAAAAACUAUAAGUAAUUUUAAUAUUCUUAAAAGCUUCAUAUUCAUAUAUAUAUAUAUAUAUAUAUAUAUAUAUAUCUUAUUUGUAUGUGGUGUGGUGUGUCUUAUAGUCACAAUGUAAUUUUAACCUUCAAGUUUUGUCUUUUAGUCACAUCUGGUCAGUCUAUUUGUGACUUGUAGUCACAAUAGUUCACAUAAGGUUAUACCCAAGAAGUGUCCGUAAAGGUGACCGGUAGCUGCAGAAUCCCCCAGCCCGAGCCAGAGAACAGAAAUAUCCUUUCACGUAUCCUUCAGUUAAUGAAAAAGCGUGUCUUUAUGAUGCCAAAAACUUGCUGAAGUUUCUUUCUACAUUUUUAUUUAUCAAACUAUUUUCCAUUAUUAUACUUUCAUUAAUGCUUCAUAAGUGUAAUAUCUAUCAAUUUUAAUUUUUUUAUAUCAAUUUUAUGUACAGGUAUAUGUUUUGUAAACACAUUUUGAUUUAUAUAAUUAUAUACAUAGGUGUUUCAUCAAAUAAGCAAGUUUCAGGUUUCAAGUAUUUGUGUACGUAUAACAUUUGUGCUCAUUAUAAGCAAGACAUAUGUAUUUGUAUCUAUCUAAAACACACUCUAGUGUUAUUGUCACUAAAAGCCAUGCUCGCUAUUUAAUAUACUAUCAUUUACCAGUAUGUGUCUUUAUGUACUUAAGUCAUGAACAAUGUGAAUCAUAUUCACAAUCUUGAACUCGUGGGUUAUAUACUGUAUGAGUUAUAAAAAAGCGGCUCUUCUUAACAUUUGAUUAUGUUUUCGACUCACAGUAUAUUUUACAAUAGGAUUUUGGAGACAAUUAUUUAUAAUCUCUUUAGCAAUAUUAAUGUAAUUUUUGUUAUCUGUCAUUAUAUUUUCAAGAUUAUACCAAGUUUAAAUCAUUUUAAUCAUCUGUUCUGUAUGCUGCUGGUUUUAUAAUAUAUGCACGCUGUUAGUUAUCAUUUCAGGCCAUGCCUACCUCUCAACACCGCAAUACAAAGGACCUGUCCGCUGGCUGGCACUUCCUGUACAAGUACUACAAAGGGGCGAUAAGGCACGUUCCCAGCCCUUCCUUUGAACACUACAUUAACCUGCCUACCUCUCAACACCCCAAUACAGAGGACCUGUCCGCUGGCUGGCACUUCCUGUACAAGUACUACAAUGGGACGAUAAGGCACGUUUUCAGCCCUUCCUAUCGAACACUACAUUAAACCACGAAGGACCAGAACGAACAAUUACGGCUAGAAACAGGAAGACUUCACUCUUCAGAACAUUGUGUUUUAUCUAGUGAUCUUCAGUUUUUUAGUUUUAUAUGUCAUACUUAUACAUUUUCAAUGUUAUGUCCGAUUAUAGUUAUCAGCUCAGGCUGAUACUAAUGGUUUAGUUCUCUCCGAAGUAAGUAUGUAUAUGCCUGAUUAAAAUUUGUUCAGUUUAGACUGAUAUUGAUGUUAUAGUUCUCUACGAAGGAACUAUUUUUAUGCAGGCCUUGAUUAUAUUUUUCAAUAUUCGGCCUGAUUUUGCUUAUACCGUUCAGGCUGAUAUUGUUGUUAUAGUUCUCUACGCAGGAACUAUGUUUAUGAAGGCCUUGCUUAUUCAUUUUUCAAUAUUUGGCCUGAUUUUGCUUAUACCGUUCAGGCUGAUAUUGUUAUUAUAGUUCUCUACGCAGAACUAUGUUUAUGCAGGCCUUGCUUAUUUAUUUUUCAAUAUUUGGCCUGAUUUUGCUUAUACCGUUCAGGCUGAUAUUGUUAUUAUAGUUCUCUACGCAGAACAAUAUUAUAGUUCUCUACGCAGAACUAUGUUUAUGCAGGCCUUGCUUUUAUAUUUUCCAUUAUUCAGCCUGAUUUUAGUUAUACCGUUCAGGCUGAUAUGGAUGUUAUAGUUCUCUACGCAGAACUAUUUUUAUGCAGGCCUUGCUUAUUAUUAUUUUCCAAUAUUCAGCCUGAGUUUAGUUGGACCGUUCAGGCCGAUAUUGAUAUUUUAGUUCUCUACGCAGAACUAUGUUUAUGCAGGCCUUGCUUAUUAUUAUUUUCCAAUAUUCAGCCUGAUUUUAGUUGGACUGUUCAGGCCGAUAUUGAUAUCUUAGUUCUCUACGUAGGAACUAUGUUUAUGCAGGCUUUGCUUAUUAUAUUUUACAAUAUUCAGCCUGAUUUUAGUUGGACCGUUCAGGCCGAUAUUGAGAUUUUAGUUCUCUACGAAGGAACUAUAUUUAUUCAGGCUGUGCAUAUAUUUUUCUAUAUUCAAACUGAUUUUCAGUAUUCCAUUCAGGCUGAUAUUGAUGUUAUGGUUCUCUACGAAGGAACUAUGUUUUAUGCAACCCUUGCUUAUAUUUUUCAGUAUUCUUCCUGAUUUUAGUUAUUCCGUUCAGGAUGAUAUUGAGGUUAUAGUUCUCUACGAAGGAACUAUGUUUUAUGCAACCCUUGCUUAUAUUUUUCAGUAUUCUUCCUGAUUUUAGUUAUUCCGUUCAGGACGAUAUUGAGGUUAUAGUUCUCUACAAAGGAACUAAAUUUAUGCAUGAUUUUAGUUAUUCAGUUCAGUCCAUGCUUAUAUUUUUCAAUAUUCUGCAGGAUUUAAGUUAUUCAGUCUAGGCUGAUAUUGAUACUAUAGUUGUCUUCGAAGGAGCUAUUUUACCUAAGUUGGGUACCAGAUCAGGUCAUGAAUGUACUUACAUGUUCUGCCGAUUCAGAUAUCUGGACAUGCCAUGCAUAUAUUUAUCUUUUAAUUUCUGCCCAGUCAGGCAUCGUUGGGGUUUUCACUACCCCUCUAACUAAACUUAUUUCUAUUUCUUAUGACCAAAGUUUUUAACUUAUUUUCCCUGUUUUUCUUAUUGGUAUGUGCCAAUUUUACCGUAUAUGCCAAUCUUAACGGGUAGUUAUUCUAACAGUUCUAGUGUCAACACAUCUUUCCCAUUAUAAACCUGUGUGUUGGCGUAUUAUACGAAUAAAAUUGCCUUCUGCCCGAUAAUCUUCAUCUCCCAAAAGAUGCUUCUGGGUCUAAGAUUUUGAAGCUACUGUUGGGCAUAUUAGUUUUUCAUAUCUCUGAGUUAAAGGGAAUGUCGCCCCACAGGGAUCUGCCACAUCCCUAUGUAAAUAAUCAUGCUCCACUAAGUCACACCAAAUAAGAUCAAUACGUUUCCUAGGUUUUGUCCUCGAAAGCCAUUACAUAUAUAUUUUCCAUCAUAAUCCAUUACCCUUUUUACUUUGCUUACUCAUAAGCGAUAAUCGUUAGCCCAGUUCUUUCACGUUUUAAAUCACGGGCUUGUUACCCGAGCUGUUCCAUAUGGUUAUUCCCACAGAUAUUCCUCUGGAUUAUUGGUAUUUGUUGUAUAUGUCUCUUUAACUGUCUGCCAGUUUACAUCUGCAGCCCAAUUGUUUAUUAAAUUUUGAUUGGUCGCUCUUUUUCAAGUACAUUCCGAAUCUUACUUUUGUCAAGGUUUUUCAUAUUAUGUAUAUAUGUUAACUGACAGUUUAUUGUUCUAAUGGUCUUUUACUCAUUUACUGGUACAUGUACUUCAUGCCAAUGCUGGUUGUCUGUCGGUUCCAAACCACAGCUCCAUAGUUGUACUACACAGUACAUUAUUGCUUUCCCUGUUUAUGUGUUACAAUUAUUAAUUUGCUUUUGUUGUGUUGCUUGACUGUUUAUGUUUAACCAACAGUUUAACCCCGCAGGUAACCUUUUACCUAUUACCAAGGUCUGUUAUCAAGGCAAUGUUUGUCUUUUUUAUCUCAUUGUCUGAUAGUUUAAGAAUGCAGUUCCAUUGUUUUACUAUAUGAUUGCUUACUCCUGUAUAGGUACAUAUUUUUACUUUUGUUGUUCUGCUGUACAAUCUAUGUUUACCUGAUAGGUAAAGGGUGCAGAUUGUAUUUAAAAUUUUACCAAUACCCUUUAUUCAAGCCAAUAUGUGUUAAAUACUUUUCAUAUGUUGUCUGAUGGUUAAGGGCAGCCCCUACAUUGUUUUACACUGGGUUCAUGAUAUCAUACUACUUAACCACUACAUUUUAAUAUUUUGCUUCGUCAGGUUCUUGAACAUUUAAGGUUAAUCUUAUAGUUUAAAGCUGCACAUUCAUUUUCACCUCUUAACAGGUACCUGUACUUAGUCUUCAUUCCAAAAUCUGUUGUAUACAUCUGUUUGGUCAUCUUGUUGGUUUAAGGCCGCAGCUCCAUUGUAUAACAUAUUAUUGUUUACUUUCUUAUCGAUACAGGUAAUUUUUCACCUAUAACAAAGGCCUGUAAUUAGGGCCAUAUCUGUUGUAUAUAUCUCCUAUGCAUGAUGGUUUAGGGCCACAGAUCCAUUGUUUUCCUAUAUUAUUGCCUACUUUUUACCGUUACAUCUUUUUUAUAUUUAUUUUCGUUGCUUUGCUUUACAAUUUAUGUUAACCUGACAGUUUAAGGCUGCAGGUAAUUUUUCAUUUAUUAAUAAGGCUGCUGUUUAAGGCAAGUAUCUGUUGCUUAUAUCUCCUAUGUUGUCUGGCGGUUUAGUGCUCGGAUCGGGGAUUAUACUAUAUUAUUGAUUGCCUACUCUUUUACCGGUACGUUGUCUUAUUUUAUGGUGUGUUGCUUUGCCGUACAAUUUAUGUUUACCUGACAGUUUUAGGCUGCAAGCAAACGUUUCACCUUUUAACUGUAGGUGGAUGGUCCACGGCCGUCCACAAGCUCAAAUGACCAUAUAUGGAGAAAAAGGCGGGACCAAACCAAAUAGGCUUGCAAUGCGCAUGCCCAAGCAAAACCGAUUUAACACCUGGCAUCGUGACCUGGAUGCAGAUUCUAAGCAGAUGGGCCAAAAUGGGGGCAGCUAGAGAGACUCGCCUGGAACUGACAAGCCUGGAGGGAGCUGGUUGACUGUUGGCGAGAUGGGACAACAGACGAAGAAUAAACGAACCUACUUGAUUUGAUAAACAUUUUUAUGUUUUUCAGUUUCGUCAGAAGACAUUUCCCACCAACCAUCCUGUCUUGAAAGAAAUAACUUUUGAACCCGAUUAUCUGAUAUUUUCCAGUUUCCCCUCACAACAAUUUGCAUCAAACCUCUUGUCUGGUAAGAAAUUUCCAUUGAAACCAACUGCUGGUAAUACUAUCUUUUUGGUAAUGGGGGCUAUAUAGGAACCACUUUGUCGGUCCGUCAGUCUGUCCCGAAAUUUCAUCAGAUCUUCACCCAAACUUGGUCACAAAUUGUAUCUAGAUGAUGUAUAGGUCAAGUUUGAAUAUGGAUCAUGCCCGGUCAGAAACUAGGUCAUGGGGUCACUUAUUGUGUUUUAAACCUGAAGUUUGUCUGGGCCAUAACUUUGUCAUUUAUUUCAUACAGUAUUUUAAAUGAUGGAACAGUUCAUAAUGAUUUCAAGACAUCUUCUGAUCCCUGGAAGAUAAACUAGGGAUUGAUCUGUCUGUAUAUAACAGUUCAGAGACUUCCAAUCUAGCGUGAGAAGAUGUAAUGAUAAUGUAAAAUGGAAAUUACAUAUAACCAUACAUGCCAUAAUUUUUCAGACCAAUUCCGGGACAUUGUGUUAAAUUGUUCGGGACUUUUGCCGAUUUUCCGGGACAUGUAUAAAAUGUAGCGAUAUUUAUAGACAUAUGCAUUUUUGGUACGUUUUGUUUUGUUUCGCAUCGUUAAUUGCAAAAGUUCGAAAGCCUAUCCGAAAUAUACUUGAUCUAUUAACGUCAAAUUAAACAUUACUAGUUCCUUUACUAGAUACAGGCCAUGUGUUUUCAGUGUAAGCGUUCUAAACAAAGAUGGUGACGUCACUGCGUUAUUGUUAUUAAGACCGGUGUGUAACGCGUAGUUGUUGAUACGCCUUUAUUCAUUUACAACAUUUAUAUAAUAAAAAAUACAACAAUACAGUACCGUUAGAUUGUCAACUCAAAUCAAUUCACAAUACAUACAACCAAUCACAUAAAACAAAUACAACAAAACAGUACCGGUAGAUCGUCAACUUAAAAUCCGUACAGUCACACAUUAGUUACACUCUUGUUUCGAUGUAGAUAUAAGUCAAUUAACAACCAAAACAAUGCCGCCUUUUCGGUUUGACAGCGAACGUGAGACAAUCAAUAUGAUAACAGGAACCCUGUUAAUUGAUCGAUUUUGACACGUAGCGUAGUCUGCCUAUUCGGGUAGGCAUUGUCAUGGAGACGCUGCAUAUAUACACAGAUUCGAGGUGCAGUUAAGCCUAAGAUAAGGUACAUGUAUAUAUGGAUUUUGUAAAUUCAGGGACAUUUGACAGAUUUCCGGGACAGCGGGACAAGUUCUUCAUUUCCGGGACUGUCCCGGAAAAUCCGGGACGUAUGGCAUCUCCUCAGCUGAAAUCAUCAUCUAGCAGUCACAAUAGUUGAGCGGUUGGAGAGGCAUGCAUUGCGUCCUACUACUGCUCAGACUAUAUUAUGUUUGGCAGACAAAACAUGCUGAUCAAAAAGAAUGUGUACCACAGGGGCCAGUGUUUCCAUUUGAGUGAUUGACAAGAAGAAGAAGAGAUGAGAAAUGUUAUCAUCAUAUUUUAGUCCCUACAUUUAUAGUGUACAGCUCAAUGUAUUGAACCGGUGUUGUAGAAUAUAAUUGGAGAUACAUGCGAACAUUAUAACAUUAUAUAUAAGAUGAUAUUUCAAAAGCAAUAAGAAAUAAAAAGUAUAAAAAGGUCAAAACAGUAAACCUUGUGUUUACAGUGGACAGGUUUAAAGUGGAAGUGACUAGUUAAUUGUUGAUCAUAAGCUGCACUGAUGGAAAAAAUAGUGGGAAAUUACUAUCUAGAAAACUGUUUAACGUACGACAACAGUUGUGGAACUUCAUAAAUGACCGUAUGUAACAGGGCUGCGCAGUUUUCCUUAUAUAGCUAUAGUGAAACCUUUUGAACACUAGUGAAGUCACUGUUUUUUUUCCAAUCUUCAUGCAUUUUGGUCGAAUAUUUGUUCAAAUGAUGGCUCAGUCCAGUUUCGAAAUUUUUAUGUCUAUUCAAAAACAUAUCCACUAGAGCACGAGGCAAUUGUCUUUAUAUGGCUAUAAUGAAACCUUGUAAAUUCUCUAGAAGUGACAUUUUUAGCCAUAUCUCCAUAAAUUUUGGUCAGAAUAUUUAUUCUAAUGAUAGCUCAGUUGUCGAGUUUGUAACUGGUUCCGGUUUGUAGACUAACAUGGCUGCCAGUGGACAUGACAGUUUUUCUUAAUGUGCUAGAGUAGAACCUUGUUAACACACAAUUGGCCCUUUUUAUGUGCAUUUUUCAUGAAAGAUGAUCAGAGCAUUUGGCCCAAUGUAAUCUCAGCUGACUUUGAAACUGGAUCACAUAACGUCAAAAAGUGGGUCAAAAUGUCAAAUUAAAAAAAGCUUGUAAACACUGGAAGUUGCAUUUAAAAUUGUGUUCCUUUUUUAUGUCCCCCACUAUAGUAGUGGGGGACAUAUUGUUUUUGCCCUGUCUGUUGGUUGGUCUGUUGGUUGGUUGGUUUGCGCCAACUUUAACAUUUGCAAUAACUUUUGCAAUAUUGAAGAUAGGAACUUGAUAUUUUGCAUGCAUAUGUAUCUCAUGGAGCUGCACAUUUUGAGUGGUGAAAGGUCAAGGUCAUCCUUCAAGGUCAAAGGACAAAUAUAUGGGUCAAAAUCGCUCAUUUAAUGUACACUUUUGCAGUAUUUCAAUAUUCAAGAUAGCAACUUGAUAUUUGGCAUGCAUGUGUAUCUCAUUGAGCUGCACAAUUUGAGUGGUGAAAGGUUAAGUUCAUCCUUCAAGGUCAGAUGUCAAAUAUAUGUGUCCAAAAUCGCUCAUUUUAUUAUACUUUUGCAAUAUUGAAGAUAGCAACUUGAUAUUUGGCAUGCAUGUGUAUCUCAUGGAUCUGCACAUUUUGAGUGGUGAAAGGUCAAGGUCAUCCUUCAAGGUCAGAGGUCGAAUAUAUGUGGCCCAAAUCGCUUAUUUUAUGAAUACUUUUUCUAUAUUGAAGAUAGCAACUUGAUAUUUGGCAUGCAUGUGUAUCUCAUUGAGCUGCACAUUUUUAGUGGUUAAAGGUCAAGGUCAAAUAUAUGGGUCAAAAUUGAUCAUGUAAUGUCACUUCUGCAAUAUUGAAGCUAGCAAUUUUAUAUUUGAAAUGCAUGUGUAUCUCAUAGAGCUGCACAUUUUGAGUGGUGAAGGGUCAAGGUCAUCCUACAAGGUCAAACGUCAUAUAGGGGGACAUUGUGUUUCACAAACACAUCUUGUUUAAAGUUUGUCAAAACAUUUGCUGUAAUGAUAAGCAAAGUCAAGUUUAUAAAUAAUAAUUUGUCUACAAAUUACAUAUUUUUCAUUAAGUUCAUUUAUUAUUCUAAACUACACCCUCUCAGAAUAGUUUAGUUACUUCUGGUCACAGUUGAGCACCUUAGGGCUCUUGUUCAAUAAUUUGAUUGUUUUGGAAAAUUGUCAUUUUGCCAAAAUGUGAGCAAGUCCAAAUUUAAUUAACCCUGCUUUGUAGUAUCUUGUUUUCCUUAUAUGUAAAAAGUGGAAAAUUAUCUAUGAAUCUGACUGCAUAGAUAUUUGGUAUUCAGCAAAGCAUCGUGUAAAUGUAGUAAAACUAAACACAAUUGUGUUAGCAUAAAACUGGCCAUGCCAUGGGGGUCAAAUGGUUAAUACAGACUUGUAGGAAAAAGACUUCUAAAAAUUUUAUCCGUUAAAUAUAUUUUGUGUACAUAAUGAUUAGCUUUUUCCUUCAACUUAUC